rnacentral:lncRNA from 10 species
GCGACAGAGUGAGACUGCGUCUCAAAAAAAAAAAAAUUAUAUGCACAAAUAUGGGCAUCGCUGGUAAGAAGAGUGGCAAAAACACAAGUGGUUCUCUUGUUUUGGGCUCAGACAUGUGACUGUGGCAUCACAGGCCCCCGGGAUUUAGAAUUCUUCUGAAAGGCAUCCUGUGCACUCCCGAGCACCAGCUUGAACAGAUGAAAAGGCUGAGCUGGAGGGGCUGGGACACAGUCCACCUUGACGACAGCUGCUCCUGGCUGUGCGGGGGGCCCCAGGAAAGGCCGUUCCCCCACUAGGACCGCCAGGCCCUACAGAGGCUCAAACUCCUUUGCUGUUUGGAAUCUUCCCUCCCCAGCCCCCAAGCCUCAUCAGAGGCUGCCUUUUCUGUUCACUGACCACAGCUGCUUUGACUCCAUUAGCCUCGAGCUCCUGGAAGAAAAGAAAGAACCUUGUUUUCCCUGGGCUCAAUGCCAAGAGACCAUGGGCAGUUGCUCAAGAUUCACUUGUGAAACUCCGGAUCUCAGGAGGAGGGAAGCUUGGGACAAAUACCGAGCCUCCCACCCCCACUCCAACUCUGUUACUGAGCACUUUACGGAAGGAGCAGGAGCCUGGGGUCUUGCUAUUGUGCUCCAGCCUGGCCUUGAACUCCUGGUCUCAAGGGAUGCUUCCACCCCAGCUUGCUGAGUAUCUGGGACUGCAGGCACGUGUCACUGUGCCCAGCUGUUUUUUUUUUUCUUCUUUGGUAGAAAAAGUGCCAUUAGCUGUAAUCCUACAUUAAAGAGAAUACUUUGACAAUAGA